UCAAAAUAUGUCAAGAUGGCGACAACUGGCGAAGUCCAGAAAAGUUUGUGGCACGCAUUCAAUGCUUUAGAUGCCCAGCAAUCAGGGGAUGUACAAAAAUCACGUCUAAAGGUGUUAACGAACAAUAUCGGCCGGGUGUUUGAUGUGGAGAAGGCCGAGGAGCUGCUGGACAACAUCGAAUACUCAACAUCGCGGCAGUCCUUGACCUUCACCAAGUUCUAUGAGGUCAUCGAAAACGACUUACUGUUUCAACUGAACGGCAACCUCAGCAGCAGCUCCACAUCGCACAUCUUGGAACAAAUAGACAAUAUCUGCUGGAUGCUAUGCGAAACAAAAUACGUGAAAAAGAACAACAAUGACACUGGACAGGUGCAGAAGUUGUACGACAAGGAAAUAUUCAAGCUGGUCAAAGUGUUUAAUUUCUGUGUGGAAGUGAGCGAGGAUGACCGUAAAGUUAUUUUUCCACUGACAAUUGACGUAGAGGAGGCUCAGCAUGUGUGCUGUAUUAUGUCCCGAAGCCUGGGGCUGUGUGUCGAUCGCAAGCGGGAGUUUUCCAGGAAGGGAGAUAAUCCACAGCUAGGGGAUCAGUUGGUUGGUUUUCCUGCUUUCCUUGAUGGACUAGAGGCUUGUUUUCAUGAUCUGAGUGCGAUGGACCUAUCACAGGGGAUACACGAGGUGCACGAUAUGAUUAUUGGAGAUACGCUAAAAAAGGGUCACAUGGUCAAAUUUGGCAACCGACUGACAAGUUGGAAGGAGCGCUGGUUUGUGCUGACUGCCCAGGAGUUGCGGUACUACACGGGGUGUGACGAGCGAGAACUAAAGGGGGCCAUUGAUGUCACAAAGGCCUGCAAGGUCGAGCCAUUGCCAGAUAAGAUCGGCACCAAAACCAACCGUUUCAUCCUGCACACCUCCGGUAAACAGUAUGAGUUGUCUGCCCCUGAUCUCAAGUCCAGAAAUGAAUGGAUAUCAGCAAUACAGAAGGCCAUUGACCACUCGUACGCCAGCAAGGACGAGUCCAUCCAGCGGCUGUCAUGGUGGGAAAGAAGGAAAGAGAGAGCAGCAAGGCGGAAAGAAGCAGAUGAAGAAGCCAAGAGGAGGAAGGAAGAGCAGGAGCUCCUUGUGAAGCAGCAGAAGGAGCUGGAGGAAGAAAAGGAGCGGAACAACAGAGAUAAGCUCCUUCUUGAACAACAGCUGCAGGAACUGGAGGCAGAGAGACAGGCGCGAGCUGAGAUCGAGGCUCAGCUUCGAGAGCAGGCUGUGCUCCGAGAAGCAGAACAACAACGACUCAAAGAGUUGGAGGAGAUCCGACAACAGAUGGAGAAGCUCCUGGAGGAGGAACGCCAAGCCAAGCGGGACGAGGAGAUUGUCCGCAACCUGCAAGCAAGGAUCUUGGAGGAGGAGUUUGAGAAGAGGACGGAGUUGGAGAAGCUGAAGGAGCAGCAGGAGGUGUUGCUGGAGGAGGAGCGCAGGCACCGGGCAGGCAUGGAGAAGGCCCGGGUAGAGGCCGACUCACAGCUCAUUGAGGCCAGAGAUAGGCUGAAGGAGCUGGAGCUGGAGGGGAAGCAGGCUGAGAGCCAACUGACGGAAGCAACCAGCAAGUUAAGACUUGCGGAGGAGGAGCGGGUCAAGCUGGAGGCAAGGCUGAAGGUGAAGGAAUCUAAGACCAUCGGGCUAGCCAGACCCACGUGUGUUCCUGAUCCCGAUCCCUUCACCACACACAGGGGCAAAGGUGCAUUUGUACAGGCAGACUUCCAGGCCAAGGCUGCCCACAUUGCAAACACCACCACACAGCUAUAGUGAAGAGCAUGCUUGGAGGUCAUUGGCAGAGACAUUGGCAGAGAUAUUGGAAACAUGGUUGUGGGCAUAGAGGCACCUGAGCACUGGACCAGAACAUGUUUGAUGCACUUGAUAUAUUCACGGUUGUUGAGACCCCCAAACGCUAUAGACCAAUACACAGUUGUAGUUCAGACACCAGAGCACUAUAGACCAAUACACAGGUGUAGUUGAGACAUCAGAACACUAUAGACCAAUACACAGGUGUAGUUGAGACAUCAGAACACUAUAGACCUAUACACAGGUGUAGUUGAGACAUCAGAACACUAUAGACCAAUACACAGGUCAGAACACUAUAGACCAAUACACAGGUGUAGUUGAGACAUCAGAACACUAUAGACCAAUACACAGGUGUAGUUGAGACAUCAGAACACUAUAGACCAAUACACAGGUGUAGUUGAGACACCAGAACACUAUAGACCAAUACACAGGUGUAGUGAAGACAUCAGAACACUAUAGACCAAUACACAGGUGUAGUGAAGACAUCAGAACACUAUAGACCAAUACACAGGUCAGAACACUAUAGACCAAUACACAGGUGUAGUUGAGACAUCAGAACACUAUAGACCAAUACACAGGUCAGAACACUAUAGACCAAUACACAGGUGUAGUGAAGACAUCAGAACACUAUAGACCAAUACACAGGUGUAGUUGAGACACCAGAACACUAUAGACCAAUACACAGGUGUAGUGAAGACAUCAGAACACUGUAGACAAAUACACAGGUGUAGUGAAGACAUCAGAACACUAUAGACCAAUACACAGCUGUAGUUGAGACAUCAGAACACUAUAGACCAAUACACAGGUGUAGUGAAGACAUCAGAACACUAUUGACCAAUACACAGGUGUACCAAGUUAAAUAUGUAUGUUGUCGAUGACUCCCAUCUGGGAAACACUGUGGUUUAUAUGUUUAUAUGACCUGUGACAUCCCCUGAGUACCUGACCAGGUAAGGUGAGGAUGCUGUUUAUAUUUAGAUGUCCUUUUAGUCUGUGGAUGCUGAGGAUACAGCAAUUGUGAUGACAUUAUAUUUUAUAUCUUUUACUGUUACUGUUUAUUAUAAAUGAUAUGGCAGUCUGCCAGGACUUCAUGUUUGGGAUAUAUAUUUAUGUAAAUAGAUUCUGUUCGGAUACUUUACCGUGAAUGACUUUGAAAAAGUGUGUGAUAUGUUAUAUUGAGUGUAUAUUAAUGAAUAUACAUUUAAGUUUUAUGUUGUAGACUUUUGUGGUUAGAUCAACAUUUUGCCCACAAUCCCGAAGAAUAGGGUCAUCACUGAAGGCACUUGUACUUAAGAUUGUUUGUAUUUUUCCAAGUGCUAGAAAUUAACGAUGGUCCGUGAUGUUCCCUCUGUGGUACAUGUAUUUUAUUCAGGAGAUUCCUCAAGUUUUAUUUUGUUAGAUGACGUUUGUGUCACGGACCCAUCAACAUUUUUAUCCUUAGUUACAAACAUUGUUUCAAAGAACAUGAUCUUUUGAGAAAGUCAAGAAAUAUUUUAUGUAAGUGUGGGAUGUUAACACAGGUUAACAUUUGGCAGGGGUUACAAUAUCUGUGAUUUCUAGAAUUGGAAAAAUAUUAUACUUGUGUGUUUUUUUCAUUUGCUGUGUUUAAAAACACUUGUCUUAGCAUAUAGCAUCUCCUUGUAUGGGACUGAUCAUUUAUUAUAGAAAGGGGUGGUCAGGUGUGAUCAGACAAAGGACUGUAUUAUAUUUUGCUGACCAUAACCUUUAACACAUCCCCACACCCCCCACACACCCAAACAUUUCCCCAAUACAUGCACCAGUUUGUUAGGCCCCUCCUCCUCUAGUAAAUGUCCAGCCCCUCAAUAAUGUUCAAAUAUAUUUUUUUAAUAUAUUUUCAUCCACCCUCAGGGGCGGUCGGGUAGCCUAGUGGUUAAAGCGUUCGCUCGUCACGCCGAAGACCCAGGUUCGAAUCCCGACAUGGGUACAAUGCGUGAAGCCCAUUUCUGGUGUCCCCCGCCGUGAUAUUGCUGGAAUAUUGCUAAAAGCGGCGUAAAACCAUACUCAUCCACCCUCAGCCCCCUGCCAAUAUUUGUGUCCCUCCUCUUCUGCUGUGGGGGCGGUCGGGUAGCCUAGUGGUUAAAGCGUUCGCUCGUCACGCCGAAGACCCGGGUUCGAAUCCCGACAUGGGUACAAUGCGUGAAGCCCAUUUCUGGUGUCCCCAGCCGUGAUAU
rnacentral:misc_RNA from 1 species